rnacentral:lncRNA from 1 species
UUAAAUCACCACCUUACUAAAAAAAAAACAAAGUUAAAACACCACCAUUAUCCAUUCAUUUUUCUAGAAUUUUUCCAGAAUCUUCAACGAGAUUCUACCUUUUCUCCUUCCCUUCCCAUCUCUCAAUCUUAUCAUACCAUUUUUUUUUUCACUUCUCCUUCCCCAUCUCUCAAUAUUCUUAUCCCAUUCUAGCAAUUUUUCAUCUAAUCUCUCUUUCCCCUCAUCAUCAACAUUGCUACGGUGCUCUGACAAAUCGGCAUGGUUGUUGAUUUUAGAGGGGAAAAGCAACAUGCAUCUUGUUGAAGUGGUGGAUCUGAAGGAUGAAUUUGGGAAAGACAAUAUGUCAAGGGCAGAAAAGGAAUAAAAAAGAAGAAUAAAAAGCAUUUAAAGAAAAAAAAUCUUCAAAUCGAUUUUACUUUGACGCAGAAGCUUGAAAUUGUAGCUUCCAUUGAACUCACGUUUGGGGGUGUAGAAUCACGUUUCAGGAUUCGAUUUUGCUUUUAUCCAAACACACUAGAAAAUGAAAAACUCACAUUUGGGAAAGUAAACUCACGUUUGAGGUGUCAAAACGCACAACCAAACAGACGCUAUAUCUUAAGAGCAACAAAUGUAUAAACACAUUGUCUCCAUGAGCUUAGCUCAAUUGACAGAGACAUUGUACUAUAUGUACAGGAGUCGAGGUUCGAACUCUGAACACUCUAUUUAUUUACCUUUAAGGUGGAUUUUCUAGUAGCCACUAAAUUACUUGAAAAAAAAAUUAAUAUGUACAAACGCAUUUGUAGCCAAGUGGUAAUUAUUAAGCAUCUUGACUUCACAAUGAAAAGAGCAUGCAUGUUUAAAUUCAUAUGAAAACUUGAGAGACCAUAAAAAUCAAAAUUAGGUUAG